UGCCUUUUUCUGGCUUGGGACUGGCAAUGGUCCAGAUGGUGGCUGGCCUAAGAGACAUUUCCUGAGUGUGAGACAUGUGCAGGUCCCCUGCUGAAGACAUGUAGUUAGAGCAAGAUAUAAAUGUUUGGUUUCAAGCCAUGGAGAUUCUGUAGUUGUUACCAUGGCAUCCCCUGCCCUAUCCUGACUAGCUCAAAGAGUCCAGUGAAAUAAGGAGCCAGUCAGAAAGACAAAAGCAGUGUCAGAGAGGCCUGCGUAUUACAAUAGAGAUCUCUGAGCCAAUAGUGAUUUCAGCGGGGUGAUACCCUGAAGCCAGCUUUUUCUACCUCAAGUACAGACAGAUGGGAAAUUAAAGUUCUAGGAAUUUAAAGAACCUGCCCAAUAUCAUUCAUCCAAAGCAUAGCAGAGAAAAUAUUUGAAGCCAACGUUCCUCAGAUCUUUGUCAUCUUCCUGCUACCCCGCACAUUUCAGAAAAAGUACCUUGCAGCCUCAAUACAGCACAUGCUAAGGUGACAAGCACAUGGACUACUUUUCCAAGGAUAUCCUCUGCAUGAGUUCACUUGCCCCUUCCAUGUCACAUCACAGUCACUAGUGAGUCAACAGUGCAUCAAAGGUCUGUGACAUACAGAAAAGCGUAUGGCUUCACGCCAGUGAGCCUUCACAAAGGUGGCUACUUCAGAUUGUAAAGAAUCAUUGGAUAGGACUCAGAAGACAACAACUAAUCCAAUUUUCUGAAACGUAAAGAAAACCACCUAGAAAUCUGCAGUGCUGAGUAAGAAGUAUAGGGGCAGCAGCCAUAGGGCCCAUAAUAUUUGGGCCAAGGGAAGAAUGGUGAAUUGAUUACAGCCCACCUCCAGCCAUGGGUGGAAAGAGCCUUCACAGUUGCCUAGUGCUCAGGAGUCCAUGUGAAAUAGGAAAACUUCAAAAGAGGCAGGGGCACAAAGCUCUUAUGUUUAUACAAAAUAGCAAAAGUAAU